AGAGUUUGAUCCUGGCUCAGAGCGAACGCUGGCGGCAUGCUUAACACAUGCAAGUCGCACGGGCGGUUUUCGGACUGUCAGUGGCGGACGGGUGAGUAACGCGUAGGUAUCUGUCUUUUGGUGGGGGAUAACUGUGGGAAACUACAGCUAAUACCGCAUGAAGCCUGAGGGCCAAAGCUCGUGAGAGCGCCUGGAGAGGA
rnacentral:rRNA from 1 species